rnacentral:lncRNA from 1 species
GUAGGGUUUAGGAUUUGGUUAGGGUUUGGUUUAGGGUUUAGGAUUUGUAUUAGGAUUUGAUUUAGGAUUUGGUUAGAAUUUGAUUUAGGAUUUAGGAUUUAGUUUAAGGUUUAGUUAGGGUUUGAUUAGGGUUUAGUUUAGGAUUUGAUUGAGGUUUAGUUUAAAGUUUUUUUAGGAUUUGAUUUAGGAUUUGGUUUAUGGUUUGAUUAGGAUUUUAUUUAGGAUCUGGAUUAGGAUUUGAUUUAGGAUUUAGGAUUUAGAUUAGAAUUUGGUUAGGGUUUGAUUUAGGAUUUGGUUAGGAUUUGGUUAGGGUUUGAUUAGGGUUUGGUUAGGAUUUGGUUUAGAAUUUGGUUGGAAUUUGGUCUAAGGUUUGUUUAGGAUUUGAUUUAGGGUUUAGGAUUUUAUUAUGAUUUAAGAUUUAAUUAGUAUUGGUCUAAAGUUUGAAUAAAGUUCAAUAGGAUUUUAACUAGAAUUAAAUUAAGAUUGAAUUGAGAUGUAUUUGAAUGAUAUUUGUUAUCUUUCUAAUAUUCUUUUAAGAAUUUUUAUUGUUUGUUUGAAAUUACUUGAGGUUUUUUUGAAUUUGAUUGAAGCUUACUUAGCAUUAUUAUGAUCUAAUUAGAGUUUAAUUAG